AUGGAAAUUCAACAUUAAUAUUAUAAUAUUUAUUUAUAAAUAUUAUAAAAAUAGUGUGCAAUUUUUCCAUAUAAGGACAUUGUAAUCUGUUAAUGUAAUAAAUAUUUAUCAUAAAAUUCAAUAAAUCAAAGUUUAUUCAAAUUAGUUAUUUUCCGAUUUCUAACAUAGAAUAAAUUUAAUUGAAUUUGAUAAAUCAUUGACAGAUUUAUUUAUAUAUAGUGCUUAAAUUUUUAAUUAAAUUUUACAAUAAUUUAUAAAUAUAUUAUUAUUUAUUUAUUUAUUGUAUGCACUUAUAUGAUUAACAAUGCUAUAGAUUCAGGAUACCUUCGGGACCCGUCUUGAAACACGGACCAAGGAGUCUAACAUAUGUGCAAGUCAUUGGGUAUUUUUAAUAAAACCCAAAGGCAUAAUUAACUUAACUGUUUUUUUAAUAAUGGGAUUAGUUUAUAUUUUAUUAUGAAAUAUUAAUUCAAUCCCGGGGCGUUCUAUAUAGUUAUGUAUAAUAAUAUUUAUAUUAUUUAUGCCUCUAACUAGAGCGUACCUUGAGCAUAUAUGCUGU
rnacentral:rRNA from 1 species